rnacentral:rRNA from 1 species
GGAAUAUUGCGCAAUGGGCGAAAGCCUGACGCAGCGACGCCGCGUGGGGGACGAAGGGCUUCGGCUCGUAAACCCCUGUCAUCUGCGAACAAGUUUGGCGCCGGAUAAUGGUGUCAAUUGAUAGUACCAGCAGAGGAAGGGACGGCUAACUCUGUGCCAGCAGCCGCGGUAAUACAGAGGUCCCAAGCGUUGUUCGGAUUUACUGGGCGUAAAGGGUGCGUAGGCGGUUGGCAAAGUCUGGUGUGAAAUUCUGUGGCUCAACCACAGGAGUGCAUUGGAAACUUGCCGACUAGAGAACUGGAGGGGGGGCUGGAAUUCUCGGUGUAGCAGUGAAAUGCGUAGAUAUCGAGAGGAACGCCAGUGGCGAAAGCGAGUCCCUGGACAGUUACUGACGCUGAGGCACGAAAGCUAGGGUAGCAA